CCUACGGGUGGCAGCAGUGAGGAAUAUUGGUCAAUGGACGAGAGUCUGAACCAGCCAAGUAGCGUGAAGGAUGACUGCCCUAUGGGUUGUAAACUUCUUUUAUAAAGGAAUAAAACGAGGCACGUGUGCCUUUUUGCUUGUACUUUAUGAAUAAGGAUCGGCUAACUCCGUGCCAUCAGCCGCGGUAAUACGUAGGAUCCGAGCGUUAUCCGGAUUUAUUGGGUUUAAAGGGAGCGUAGAUGGGUUGUUAAGUCAGUUGUGAAAGUUUGCGGCUCAACCGUACAAGUGCAAUUGAUACUGGCAGUCUUGAGUACAGUUGAGGUAGGCGGAAUUCGUGGUGUAGCGGUGAAAUGCUUAGAUAUCACGAAGAACCCCGAUUGCGAAGGCAGCUCACUAAACUGUGACUGACAUUGAUGCUCGAAAGUGUGGGUAUCAAACAGGAUUAGAUACCCCGGUAGUC
rnacentral:rRNA from 1 species